rnacentral:rRNA from 1 species
UAGUCCACACCGUAAACGAUGAAUGCCAGACGUCGGGCAGUAUACUGUUCGGUGUCACACCUAACGGAUUAAGCAUUCCGCCUGGGGAGUACGGUCGCAAGAUUAGAACUCAAAGGAAUUGACGGGGGCCCGCACAAGCGGUGGAGCAUGUGGUUUAAUUCGAAGCAACGCGCAGAACCUUACCAACCCUUGACAUCCUCAGCUACAUCCAGAGAUGGAUGGUUCCCUUCGGGGACUGAGUGACAGGUGCUGCAUAGCUGUCGUCAGCUCGUGUCGUGAGAUGUUCGGUUAAGUCCGGCAACGAGCGCAACCCACAUCUUUAGUUGCCAGCAGUUCGGCUGGGCACUCUAGAGAAACUGCCCGUGAUAAGCGGGGAGGAAGGGUGUGGGAUGACGUCAAGUCCUCAUGGGCCCUUACGGGGUUGGGGCUACACACGUGCUACAAUGGGCAGUGACAAUGAGUUAAUCCCCAAAAGCUGUCUCAGUUCGGGAUUGGGGGUCUGGC